rnacentral:rRNA from 1 species
AACUCCUACGGGAGGCAGCAGUAGGGAAUAUUGGACAAUGGGCGCAAGCCUGAUCCAGCCAUGCCGCGUGAGUGAAGAAGGCCCUCGGGUUGUAAAGCUCUUUUGUUGGGGAAGAAAAGCCUUGGGUUAAUACCCCGGGUCCGUGACGGUCCCGAAGAAUCAAAGCACCGGCUAACUUCGUGCCAGCAGCCGCGGUAAUACGAAGGGUGCAAGCGUUACUCGGAAUCAUUGGGUUUAAAGGGUCCGUAGGUGGAUGAUUAAGUCAGAGGUGAAAUCCUGCAGCUCAACUGUAGAAUUGCCUUUGAUACUGGUUGUCUUGAAUUAUUGUGAAGUAGUUAGAAUAUGUGGUGUAGCGGUGAAAUGCAUAGAUAUCACAUAGAAUACCGAUUGCGAAGGCAGAUUACUAACAAUACAUUGACACUGAUGGACGAAAGCGUGGGGAGCGAACAGGAUUAGAUACCCUGUAGGCUCUG